CAUAUAAAUAUCUCCCAGCUUCCUCACUGAGCUCAGAGCUCUCUGCCUCCAGCUCUGCAAGAGUCACAAUGCUCUCCCCAUCCUUGCUCUUCUGCCUUCUACUGCUCUGGCCUCAAGCCCAGGCAGCCAUUGUAGUGACCCAGACACCAGCCUCCCUGGCUGUGGCUCCAGGGGACACAGUCACCAUCACCUGCAAGGCCAGUUCCAGCAUUAGCAAGAGGAUGUCCUGGUACCAGCAGAAACCAGGACAGUCUCCCAAGCUCCUGAUCUAUGCUGCUUCCAAGCUGGAGUCUGGGGUCCCUGCCCGGUUCAGUGGCAGUGGCUCUGGGACAGAUUUCACCUUCACCAUCAGUGCUGUGGAGGCUGAAGAUGCUGCAGAUUAUUACUGUUUGCAAGGGUAUAGUACUCCAUUCCCACAGUGUUUCAGCCCUGAACAAAAACCUCCUCAGGCUGCUCAGCCCUUCAGCAUAGGGGAGCACCUGCUGCCCCACAGUCACAGGCUUAGGCCAGCCAUGGCCCUCAGGGGAGAACUGGGCCUACUUCAGCCCUGCUGCAAAAGCCAUUUGUCCCAGGGGCUGUGGUUGAGGUAG